rnacentral:rRNA from 1 species
UACAUGGGGUGCAAACGUUGCUCGGAAUUACUGGGCGUAAAGCGUGCGCAGGCGGCUAUGCAAGACAGAUGUGAAAUCCCCGGGCUCAACCUGGGAACUGCAUUUGUGACUGCAUGGCUAGAGUACGGUAGAGGGGGAUGGAAUUCCGCGUGUAGCAGUGAAAUGCGUAGAUAUGCGGAGGAACACCGAUGGCGAAGGCAAUCCCCUGGACCUGUACUGACGCUCAUGCACGAAAGCGGUGGGGAGCAAACAGG